rnacentral:lncRNA from 1 species
AAGCAAUUAGAACAGCAAGGAGAGUAUUCCCAAAAAGCAUUGCUUACCAAACAGUGGGAAAAUAUGCAGAAGAUAAUGCUGGUGUCUCAGGUGUUCUCAAGAGCUCAAUAAGAGAUGGAAAAAUUCCAGAAAUACAAAUCUAAAAUGGGUGGAGAGGUUCAGUGCCCAGCUCUGCAGUAUUGCCUUGGAGAUGCCUCCUUUUGGCUUUCGUGCCUUGUUUCAUGGGGAGCCUCUCAACAGAGUGGGCUUAACUAGGUAAGUCUGUGUGGCUGUAACUGUUACUAAUGUGCCCAAA